UAGAUCAGGUUCAAAUGAAACAUACACAGAAUACACUUUUACAGGCUUGUUUAAUCAAUGGUGGUAGAUUAAAACACACAUUUAGCUCUAGGUUGGACAGUGUGUUGACUGAUCAGUCUGUUAGCUCUAGGUUGGACAGUGUUGACUGAUCAGUCUGUUAGCUCUAGGUUGGACAGUGUUGACUGAUCAGUCUGUUAGCUCUAGGUUGGACAGUGUGUUGACUGACCAGUCUGUUAGCUCUAGGUUGGACAGUGUGUUGACUGAUCAGUCUGUUAGCUCUAGGUUGGACAGUGUGUUGACUGACCAGUCUGUUAGCUCUAGGUUGGACAGUGUGUUGACUGAUCAGUCUGUUAGCUCUAGGUUGGACAGUG
rnacentral:lncRNA from 13 species